rnacentral:rRNA from 1 species
UACAGAGGGUGCGAACGUUGCUCGGAAUUACUGGGCGUAAAGCGCAUGUAGGCGGAUCCAUAAGUCGGGCGUGAAAUCCCCAGGCUCAACCUGGGAACUGCGCUCGAAACUGUGGGUCUUGAGUGUCGGAGAGGAUGGCGGAAUUCCUGGUGUAGAGGUGAAAUGCGUAGAUAUCGGGAGGAACACCAGUGGCGAAGGCGACUACCUGGCCUGUUCUUGACGCUGAGGCGCGAAAGCUAGGGGAGCAAACGGG